GACGAACGCUGGCGGCGUGCCUAAUACAUGCAAGUAGAACGCAGUUGCGAACGGGUGAGUAACGCGUGGGUAAAUGCCUCAUAGAGGGGGCUAAUUAUUGGAAACGAUAGCUAAUAACGCAUACUGUGAGAUGGACUCGCGUUGUAUUAGCUAGUUGGUGAGGUAAAGGGUCGACAAGGCGACGAUUCAUAGCCGACCUGAGAGGGGUGUCGGGCACACUGUGGCUGGUAAACGGGCCCGACUCCUACGGGGGGCAGCAGUAGGGGAUCUUCGGAAAUGGACUGAAGUCUUACCGAGCAACCCCCCGGGGGGUAAGAAGGUUUUCGGGUCGGAAAGCUCUGUUUUUUGGGAAGCGGUAACUAACCAGAAAGUGACGGCUAACUCCGUGCCAGCAGCCGCGGUAAUAC
rnacentral:rRNA from 1 species